GUAGGGAAUAUUGGGCAAUGGUCGGAAGACUGACCCAGCCAUGCCGCGUGCAGGAAGACGGCCCUCUGGGUUGUAAACUGCUUUUAUCUGGGAAGAAAAAGGCCAUGCGUGGCAAAUUGCCGGUACCAGAUGAAUAAGCACCGGCUAACUCCGUGCCAGCAGCCGCGGUAAUACGGAGGGUGCAAGCGUUGUCCGGAUUUAUUGGGUUUAAAGGGUGCGUAGGCGGCUGAUUAAGUCAGCGGUGAAAGACUCCGGCUUAACCGGAGCAGUGCCGUUGAUACUGGUUAGCUUGAGUGUUGGAGGGGUACAUGGAAUUGAUGGUGUAGUGGUGAAAUGCAUAGAUACCAUCAGGAACACCGAUAGCGAAGGCAUUGUACUGGCCAACAACUGACGCUGAUGCACGAAAGUGUGGGGAUCGAACAGGAUUAGAAACCCUGGUAGUCC
rnacentral:rRNA from 1 species